CCUACGGGAGGCAGCAGUGGGGAAUUUUGGACAAUGGGCGCAAGCCUGAUCCAGCAAUGCCGCGUGCAGGAUGAAGGCCUUCGGGUUGUAAACUGCUUUUGUACGGAACGAAACGGUGAGCUCUAAUACAGUUUGCUAAUGACGGUACCGUAAGAAUAAGCACCGGCUAACUACGUGCCAGCAGCCGCGGUAAUACGUAGGGUGCGAGCGUUAAUCGGAAUUACUGGGCGUAAAGCGUGCGCAGGCGGUGAUGUAAGACAGAUGUGAAAUGCCCGGGCUCAACCUGGGACCUGCAUUUGUGACUGCAUCGCUAGAGUACGGUAGAGGGGGAUGGAAUUCCGCGUGUAGCAGUGAAAUGCGUAGAUAUGCGGAGGAACACCGAUGGCGAAGGCAAUCCCCUGGACCUGUACUGACGCUCAUGCACGAAGACGGUGGGGAGGACGAAACAAGGAGUAGUAUACCUACGGUAGUCCACCGACCCUAAACCGAACUGUACAACUAGGUUGGUUGGGUUCGUUCUACUGACUCAGUAACGAAGACUAACGACGUGAAGUUAGACCGCCGCGGGAGGUACGGCCGCGAGGUUAGUAAACGUACAAAGUAGAAGUUAGUACGGACGUGAGGACGNGCCGACGGACGACGACGAGGGGAGGGUAGGGAG
rnacentral:rRNA from 1 species